UAUGGUACUAGCAAUAAAAAAUUUAUUUUCAUGUGUGCUAAUGUACAUAUGCGCAAAAGUUCAUGUGUGAAUACGUACAUAUGCAUCAUAAUGUCAUGUGUGCUAACAUAUACAUUUGUUUCUCAAUUUAAUAUUUGUGCGCAAUAGAACUUGUAGGCUAUCAAACUGUAGGUAAAGUUUUUGUGUACAAAAAAUUUUGUGGAUUAAAAUUUUGGUGUACAAAAAAUUUGUGAAUAAACUUACGUUGGUUAUCGACGCUAUAAGCUAUCGAUUUGUAAGCUGCUGGGGCCUUCCCAUUAAUUCUGAAGAUGACGUUUUUUGCAAUAUUACUGAAAAAUUGUAGCACUAUUUUGCAAUGUUUUUGCUAUCCUGUGUUGUACGGAAGAAAGAAAUGCAUAUUAUAAUGAGAAAAAGGCAAAACAUUAAAAUUUAGAAGAGUUGCAGGAAAUCAAAGCUUACACGAGAAAUGCGACGACAAUAGUAGGUAUGUGGUCAACUUUGCCUUAUCCAGGGAUAUGGUUAUCAGCUCGACUUGCUUUCCCAGACUUUCCCAGAAUAUCUAUUAAUGGACUUUGAGUUCACCGGACAAAAAGACACAUAACCAAAUUGAUCACAUGCUAAUCAGCAAGAGAAACGCGCCCGGUGGGCGUUAGAACAUAUAGAGAAGCCGACUGCGACUCCGAUCACUUCCUAGUCUGUAUAAGGUACAGAUGCCGUAUAAUGAGAGAAAAAACGGUUAACAGCCAAAAAGAGGAUUUGAUCUAGAAAAGUUCAAAGAUCUUGUAAUGGCGGUCAAUUAUCAGCAUAAAUGAGACAUUGCACUCGAAUCGUGCAAUACUAAAAGGUGCAAUAAUGGACAACGCAGUGGAGGGUGUAAUAGAAGAAUUUUGGAAGUUAAUGAAGAAGACAAUAACAAGCGUACAGAAAGAAAUACUAGGACCCAAAUCAAAAAGAAAAAGAAAUGUUUCGAUGAGGAGUGCAUGGAGAAGAUAUAAAUGAGGAAUGCAGCCCUCAGAAGGUAUCUUAAAAGACCAACACGCCAGAAAAAUUGAGAAUAUAACAAUGCAAGGAGGAAUGCGAAAGGGACUGUUAGGAGCAAGAAAAGAAAGCACCUCAACUCCACAAUGCUGCGAAUGGAACAAGACAAGGAGAACAAUCCAAACAAGCUUACAAAGCAGUGAAUUUUUUUAAAAAGAGAUAUAUUUCCAGAUCAGCAAUAUGUAAAAACAAGAAUAGAGUAAUGAUAACAGGAAAAGAGAAGAGAAUGCAGGGAGAACGUAUAUCCAGGCAAACUCUUGAGAGCUUAUCAGGUGUAAAGUGACCCGUAUCAAAGCCCAGAAUGAGAUGGGAGAACGGUGUGAGCAUGAAUGCUAAAGAGAUGUUAGGAGUUCUGGAAGAAAGCAUCAGAGAAUCGGAACGUAUGAAGGCGGAAAAUUGAUAAGGCAAAAACUCGAUUUGAGCUGUAGCGCCAUUGGAAGAUGUUUUUUGCAAUAUUACUGAAAAAUUGUAACAAUAGUUUGCAAUGCUUUUUCUAUUCUGUGCUGUACGGAAUAAAGAAUACUAUAAUGAGAAAAAGGCAAACAAAAAAAAAGACACUAAAGCUGUUCAGUCAAUCCUAAUUUCAAGACAAGUAACGUAAAUAAUAUCUUAAGAUGCUAAUAUGACGCUCAAUCAUUGACUUAAUCCUUUCCUUAUACUAGCCUGGAUAUUUCCGACCGAUUCUUCUUGGUACAUAUUUUUCGUUCCAACUUCAGAAGUUGACAAGUUUGAUUCCAUAAAUCUUCAGCAAUUUGGUUAUCUUGUGCUCGCCAAUGUGGCGUUGCAACGCCGCAUUCUCUAAAGAUACAAAUCAAAAUUUACAAAAUUUGUAUUAAAAUAUAUAUAUAUAUAUAUAAAUAUUUUCUUGUAAAAUAUAUUAAAAUAAAAAUAGAUAUCUAUAUUAAAA